rnacentral:rRNA from 1 species
UACAGAGGUCCCAAGCGUUGUUCGGAUUCACUGGGCGUAAAGGGUGCGUAGGUGGUUCUGCAAGUCGGAUGUGAAAGCCCUCGGCUUAACUGAGGAAGUGCACCCGAAACUGGGUAGCUAGAGUACUAAAGAGGGUCGCGGAAUUCCCGGUGUAGAGGUGAAAUUCGUAGAUAUCGGGAGGAACACCGGUGGCGAAGGCGGCGACCUGGGUAGAUACUGACACUGAGGCGCGAAAGCGUGGGGAGCAAACAGG